UGCCUUCUGUGACAUAAUGACCCAAGGUGAGCUUCAGUGAGGGAUCUUAGUUUAGAGAUUUAACUGCAUGUGUUGGGAGGUUUAAAUGGUGCCAUACCUCCAUCAAGUGCCUCUGGAGGCAAUGAUAUAAUGGUAGGCAGUAUUAGAUUCAAGUUAGAGUGGGGUGAAAGAGGUGAAGAUCAACCAUGAGCACGAAGUUCCACUACUAUCAAUCUCUGCUUGUGAAGACUGUUUGCAGGACACUGUAAGGAUGAACUUGCCUUUUGCUUUCUCUGUGCUGGGGCCAAGCCCAGUGGUGCAGCAGCAGAGGAAGCCAUUCUGUGCUGAGAGCAGUGACAAGGAGAUUCCGGUCCAUUAGCUGUUUCAAAAGUGGGCUGAAUGCAUCUUAACUGUUUUGGAAAGUGUUUUGACUGCAGCAAAGAAAUGGCACCUUAUAUGGGUAAUUAAAAUGUUUCUUUCUGCUGAAA